UCCCUAGUAGCUCAGAUGGUAAAGAAUCUGCCUGCAGUGCAGGAGUCCUGGGUUCAAUCCCUGGGUUGGGAA
rfam:TPA: Bos taurus chromosome 10, whole genome shotgun sequence.